rnacentral:rRNA from 1 species
AUGAACGCUAGCUACAGGCUUAACACAUGCAAGUCGAGGGGCAGCAUGGUCUUAGCUUGCUAAGACUGAUGGCGACCGGCGCACGGGUGAGUAACACGUAUCCAACCUGCCGUCUACUCUUGGACAGCCUUCUGAAAGGAAGAUUAAUACAAGAUGGCAUCAUGAGUCCGCAUGUUCACAUGAUUAAAGGUAUUCCGGUAGACGAUGGGGAUGCGUUCCAUUAGAUAGUAGGCGGGGUAACGGCCCACCUAGUCUUCGAUGGAUAGGGGUUCUGAGAGGAAGGUCCCCCACAUUGGAACUGAGACACGGUCCAAACUCCUACGGGAGGCAGCAGUGAGGAAUAUUGGUCAAUGGGCGAGAGCCUGAACCAGCCAAGUAGCGUGAAGGAUGACUGCCCUAUGGGUUGUAAACUUCUUUUAUAAAGGAAUAAAGUCGGGUAUGGAUACCCGUUUGCAUGUACUUUAUGAAUAAGGAUCGGCUAACUCCGUGCCAGCAGCCGCGGUAAUACGGAGGAUCCGAGCGUUAUCCGGAUUUAUUGGGUUUAAAGGGAGCGUAGAUGGAUGUUUAAGUCAGUUGUGAAAGUUUGCGGCUCAACCGUAAAAUUGCAGUUGAUACUGGAUAUCUUGAGUGCAGUUGAGGCAGGCGGAAUUCGUGGUGUAGCGGUGAAAUGCUUAGAUAUCACGAAGAACUCCGAUUGCGAAGGCAGCCUGCUAAGCUGCAACUGACAUUGAGGCUCGAAAGUGUGGGUAUCAAACAGGAUUAGAUACCCUGGUAGUCCACACGGUAAACGAUGAAUACUCGCUGUUUGCGAUAUACUGCAAGCGGCCAAGCGAAAGCGUUAAGUAUUCCACCUGGGGAGUACGCCGGCGACGGUGAAACUCAAAGGAAUUGACGGGGGCCCGCACAAGCGGAGGAACAUGUGGUUUAAUUCGAUGAUACGCGAGGAACCUUACCCGGGCUUAAAUUGCAGAUGAAUUACGGUGAAAGCCGUAAGCCGCAAGGCAUCUGUGAAGGUGCUGCAUGGUUGUCGUCAGCUCGUGCCGUGAGGUGUCGGCUUAAGUGCCAUAACGAGCGCAACCCUUGUUGUCAGUUACUAACAGGUUCCGCUGAGGACUCUGACAAGACUGCCAUCGUAAGAUGUGAGGAAGGUGGGGAUGACGUCAAAUCAGCACGGCCCUUACGUCCGGGGCUACACACGUGUUACAAUGGGGGGUACAGAGGGCCGCUACCACGCGAGUGGAUGCCAAUCCCCAAAACCUCUCUCAGUUCGGACUGGAGUCUGCAACCCGACUCCACGAAGCUGGAUUCGCUAGUAAUCGCGCAUCAGCCACGGCGCGGUGAAUACGUUCCCGGGCCUUGUACACACCGCCCGUCAAGCCAUGGGAGCCGGGGGUACCUGAAGUGCGUAACCGCGAGGAGCGCCCUAGGGUAAAACUGGUGACUGGGGCU